GACGAACGCUGGCGGCGUGCUUAACACAUGCAAGUCGAGCGGAGCGGCGAACGGGUGAGUAACGCGUGAGUAACUGCCCCCCUCUCUGGGAUAACAGUUGGAAACGGCUGCUAAUACCGGAAAGUGGGGGAUGACUCGCGUCCUAUCAGCUUGUUGGUGGGGUAGUGGCCUACCAAGGCGACGACGGGUAGCCGGCCUGAGAGGGGGAACGGCCACAUGGGGCUGAGAUACGGCCCAAACUACAACGGUGGGCAGCAGGGGGGAAUAUUGCACAGUGGGGGAAACCCUGAUGCAGAAAGGCCGCGUGCGGGAUGCCGGCCUUCGGGUUGUAAACCGCGUUCAGCCAUGACGCGGUAGUGGCAGAAGAAGCACCGGCUAACUACGUGCCAGCAGCCGCGGUAAUAC
rnacentral:rRNA from 1 species